AGAGUUUGAUCCUGGCUCAGAAUCAACGCUGGCGGCGUGCCUCAGACAUGCAAGUCGAACGAUUAAAGCUCUCUUCGGAGAGUGUAUAGAGUGGCGCACGGGUGAGUAACACGUAAGUAAUCUACCUUUGAGUGGGGAAUAACGUCCGGAAACGGACGCUAAUACCGCAUAAUGCAGCGGCAUCGCAAGAUGACAGUUGUUAAAGAUUUAUCGCUUGAAGAGGAGCUUGCGGCAGAUUAGCUAGUUGGUAAGGUAAUGGCUUACCAAGGCUACGAUCUGUAACCGGUCUAAGAGGACGGUCGGUCACACUGACACUGAAUAACGGGUCAGACUCCUACGGGAGGCAGCAGUCGGGAAUUUUGGGCAAUGGGCGAAAGCCUGACCCAGCAACGCCGCGUGAAGGAUGAAGUAUUUCGGUAUGUAAACUUCGAAAGAAUGGGAAGAAUAAAUGACGGUACCAUUUAUAAGGUCCGGCUAACUACGUGCCAGCAGCCGCGGUAAUACGUAGGGACCAAGCGUUGUUCGGAUUUACUGGGCGUAAAGGGCGCGUAGGCGGCCCUACAAGUCACUUGUGAAAUCUCCGGGCUUAACUCGGAAUGGCCAAGUGAAACUGUAAGGCUAGAGUGCAGAAGGGGCAAUCGGAAUUCUUGGUGUAGCGGUGAAAUGCGUAGAUAUCAAGAGGAACACCUGAGGUGAAGACGGGUUGCUGGGCUGACACUGACGCUGAGGCGCGAAAGCCAGGGGAGCAAACGGGAUUAGAUACCCCGGUAGUCCUGGCCCUAAAUGAUGAAUACUUGGUG
rnacentral:rRNA from 1 species